GUUAGUUCUCAGUCCCGUUCAGGGGCAUCCUUAGAAGGUCUUCUGGCACUAAGAUUCCCCGCAUAGGACCACAAUUUAUCCAAAUCAGUUGGACUCACUUUCUCCAGUUUAGCCGUAGGUAGUACCUUUGAACCAGCCUUAGAAGGAGAAGCUGUCUUCCCUGGGCUACCAAUCAAGGGAGAUAAGCAGAAGGUUGGUGUAGCAAAUGGAGAGGUAAAUGGGGAAUGCUGUAUAGAGAAGGGGCUGGGUGACAUCCGCUUUUGGACUGGAAGACCACCCAAACCUCCCCUAUUGAAAAGGGAUAUAUUCUCUGCUGCAGCACAUCGUUUUGUGGCAUCAUCCACG
rnacentral:misc_RNA from 1 species